CAGGGAUUGCCCUAGUAACGGCGAGUGAAGCGGCAACAGCUCAAAUUUGAAAUCUGGCUCUUUUAGAGUCCGAGUUGUAAUUUGCAGAGGGCGCUUUGGCUUUGGCAGCGGUCCAAGUUCCUUGGAACAGGACGUCACAGAGGGUGAGAAUCCCGUACGUGGUCGCUAGCUAUUGCCGUGUAAAGCCCCUUCGACGAGUCGAGUUGUUUGGGAAUGCAGCUCUAAAUGGGAGGUAAAUUUCUUCUAAAGCUAAAUACUGGCCAGAGACCGAUAGCGCACAAGUAGAGUGAUCGAAAGAUGAAAAGCACUUUGGAAAGAGAGUCAAACAGCACGUGAAAUUGUUGAAAGGGAAGCGCUUGCAGCCAGACUUGCUUGCAGUUGCUCAUCCGGGCUCUUUUGCCCGGUGCAUUCUUCUGCAGGCAGGCCAGCAUCAGUUUGGGCGGUGGGAUAAAGGUCUCUGUCACGUACCUCUCUUCGGGGAGGCCUUAUAGGGGAGACGACAUACCACCAGCCUGGACUGAGGUCCGCGCAUUUAUGCUAGGAUGCUGGCGUAAUGGCUGUAAGCGGCCCGUCUUGAAACACGGACCAAGGAGUCUAACAUCUAUGCGAGUGUUUGGGUGUCAAGCCCGAACGCGUAAUGAAAGUGAACGGAGGUGGGAACCCGCAAGGGUGCACCAUCGACCGAUCCUGAUGUCUUCGGAAGGAUUUGAGUAAGAGCAUGGCUGUUGGGACCCGAAAGAUGGUGAACUAUGCUUGAAUAGGGUGAAGCCAGAGGAAACUCUGGUGGAGGCUCGCAGCGGUUCUGACGUGCAAAUCGAUCGUCAAAUUUGGGCAUAGGGGCGAAAGACUAAU
rnacentral:rRNA from 1 species